rnacentral:rRNA from 1 species
AUUGACGCUGGCGGCAGGCUUAACACAUGCAAGUCGAACGGUAACAUAAAGAAGCUUGCUUCUUUGAUGACGAGUGGCGGACGGGUGAGUAAUGCUUGGGAAUCUAGCUUAUGGAGGGGGAUAACUACGGGAAACUGUAGCUAAUACCGCGUAGAAUCGGGAGAUGAAAGUGUGGGACCUUCGGGCCACAUGCCAUAGGAUGAGCCCAAGUGGGAUUAGGUAGUUGGUGAGGUAAAGGCUCACCAAGCCGACGAUCUCUAGCUGGUCUGAGAGGAUGACCAGCCACACUGGGACUGAGACACGGCCCAGACUCCUACGGGAGGCAGCAGUGGGGAAUAUUGCGCAAUGGGGGGCAACCCUGACGCAGCCACGCCGCGUGAAAUGAAGAAGGCCUUCGGGUUGUAAAGUUCUUUCGGUAGCGAGGAAGGCAUUUAGUUUAAUAAACUGGAUGAUUGACGUUAACUACAGAAGAAGCACCGGGCUAACUCCGUGCCAGCAGCCGCGGUAAUACGGGAGGGUGCGAGCGUUAAUCGGAAUAAAUGGGCGUAAAGGGCACGCAGGCGGUGACUUAAGUGAGGUGUGAAAGCCCCGGGCUUAACCUGGGGAAUUGCAUUUCAUACUGGGUCGCUAGAGUACUUUAGGGGAGGGGUAGAAAUCCCACGUGUAGCGGUGAAAUGCGUAGGAGAUGGUGGAGGAAUAACCGGAGGCGAAGGCAGCCCCUUGGGAAUGUACUGGACGCUCAUGUGCGAAAGCGUGGGAGGCAAACAAGG